rnacentral:lncRNA from 1 species
CUCAACUUAACAAUGUCCUUAGUGUCCAAAAUAUCAGCAACAUUGACAUUUGCUUGGACAGCACUGUUCCCAUUACCAUUUGCACUUUCAUCUUUGAUAUUUCCUUUGUGUAAGCCACAUUCCUUGGCCUUUGCAUCCUCCCACCACCACCUUCCUUCUCUCUCGUGUUGCCCAGGCAGGACCGGCCUGGUGCAAGGUUCACAUCCAAUGGAGACAUAACCUUUGGAAUGCAAAGAGUUAACGGGCACAUUCAUCGCACGUAGGAAGUUCCAUAUGUCCUUGCCUUCUACAUUAGCC